rnacentral:rRNA from 1 species
GAAUAUUGCGCAAUGGGCGAAAGCCUGACGCAGCAACGCCGCGUGAGGGAUGAAGGCUUUCGGGUUGUAAACCUCUUUCAGCAGGGACGAUUGUGACGGUACCUGCAGAAGAAGCCCCGGCCAACUACGUGCCAGCAGCCGCGGUAACACGUAGGGGGCGAGCGUUGUCCGGAUUUAUUGGGCGUAAAGAGCUCGUAGGUGGUUCGGUAAGUCGGGUGUGAAAACUCUGGGCUCAACUCAGAGACGCCACCUGAUACUGCCGUGACUGGAGUCUGGUAGGGGAGUGUGGAAUUCCCGGUGUAGCGGUGAAAUGCGCAGAUAUCGGGAGGAACACCAGUGGCGAAGGCGGCACUCUGGGCCAGUACUGACACUGAGGAGCGAAAGCGUGGGUAGCGAACAG